AUUUAGUAGUUAUAUUUGUUGAAUUAAAUAGGGUGAAGCGAACCCAACGUUGGAAGGGUAUUUUGCCACUAUCAUACAAGAUGUCUAAUGACAUACAACCUCGUAUCAUCAUAAGACAGGGAAGUGCUCAUCCACUUGCUGAAUAUAUAUACGAGCACUACCUAUAUAAUCUUGGUGUUUGUUUGAAGUAUAAUUCUCAAUUAGAGACAGUGGAGAUAAUGAUAUAUCAAGAGAAUACUCACCAUUGGGAAGAAUAUGAUAGUAAUCUUCUCAUUUUUCUUUGGGGUUUA
rnacentral:lncRNA from 1 species